UACGAAGGGGGCUAGCGUUGCUCGGAAUCACUGGGCGUAAAGCGCACGUAGGCGGAUUGUUAAGUCAGGGGUGAAAUCCUGGAGCUCAACUCCAGAACUGCCUUUGAUACUGACGGUCUUGAGUUCGGGAGAGGUGAGUGGAACUGCGAGUGUAGAGGUGAAAUUCGUAGAUAUCGGGAGGAACACCGGUGGCGAAGGCGGCGACCUGGGUCGAGACUGACGCUGAGGCGCGAAAGCGUGGGGAGCAAACAGG
rnacentral:rRNA from 1 species